rnacentral:rRNA from 1 species
AACGAACGCUGGCGGCGCGCCUAAUACAUGCAAGUCGAGCGAGAAGGUGUAGCAAUACACUUGUAAAGCGGCGAACGGGUGAGGAAUACAUGGGUAAUCUACCAUCGAGUGGGGAAUAACCAGCCGAAAGGUUGGCUAAUACCGCGUACGCUUCCGAGUCUUCGGGCUUGGAAGGAAAGCCGCACUGUGAGUGCGGCGCUCUUUGAUGAGCUCAUGUCCUAUCAGCUUGUUGGUAGGGUAACGGCCUACCAAGGCUUUGACGGGUAGCUGGUCUGAGAGGACGAUCAGCCACACUGGCACUGCGACACGGGCCAGACUCCUACGGGAGGCAGCAGUAAGGAAUAUUGCGCAAUGGGCGAAAGCCUGACGCAGCGACGCCGCGUGGGGGAUGAAGGUCUUCGGAUUGUAAACCCCUUUCGGGAGGGAGAUGGAGCGAGCAAUCGUUCGGACGGUACCUCCAGAAGCAGCCACGGCCAACUUCGUGCCAG